GGAUGUGAGGGCGAUCUGACUGUGACAUCUGUUACCCCGUUGUUCACCAGGGUUGAUUUGGCUGAUCUGACUGGCUAGGCGGGUAUCCCCUUCCUCCCUCACCACUCCAUGUGUAUCUGUCGCAAACCUGCGUGCUCAGUCAAAGAGGAUGACCAUCCCCGAUAGAGGAGGACUGGUCUUCAGUCAAGGGUAUACGAGUAGCUGCACUCCCCUGCUAGAAACUCCAAACAAGCUCUCAAAAAAAAAAAAAAAAAGGCAUGACAUGGUAUCACUGUUUGUUCAUGUGCUCUUCCAGUUUAGGCUGAAUCUCAU
rnacentral:snRNA from 1 species